rnacentral:rRNA from 1 species
UUAGAACUGUGGGGACACGUAAGGAAAGCGGAAGCCGGGAAUGGAAAGCCCGGUGCAAGCGGGGUACCAGCCACUUUGGCAAAUCCGGGUGGCAAUGGGAAGCCGUGAUGCGGAGCGAAAUAAAGUAGCGAAGUCCGUGAGCCAUGCGUCAAGAAAAGCCGCUAUCGUUUAUACCGUACCCGUACCGUAAACCGACACAGGUGGAUGAGGAGAGAAUCCUAAGGCCGGCGGAAGAAGCAUUGUCAAGGAACUCGGCAAAAUGGCCCCGUAACUUAGGGAUAAGGGGUGCCUGGGAAACCAGGCCGCAGAGAAUAGGCUCAAGCAACUGUUUAGCAAAAACACAGGUCUAUGCGAAACCGAAAGGUGAGGUAUAUGGGCUGACGCCUGCCCGGUGCUGGAAGGUUAAGAGGAGAGGUUAGCGGUAACGCGAAGCUUUGAAUUUAAGCCCCAGUAAACGGCGGCCGUAACAAUAACGGUCCUAAGGUAGCGAAAUUCCUUGUCGGGUAAGUUCCGACCCGCACGAAAGGCGUAAUGAUUUGAGCGCUGUCUCGACAAUGCAUCCGGUGUAAUUGAAGUACCAGUGAAGAUGCUGGUUACCUGCGCCAGGACGGAAAGACCCCAUGGAGCUUUACUCCAGUCUGGUACUGGGACUCGGUAUUGCAUGUACAGGAUAGGUGGGAGGCUGAGAAAUGGUAACGCCAGUUGCCAUGGAGCCGCUGUUGGGAUACCACCCUUGCAGUAUUGGGUUUCUAACCAGCCGCCGUGACCCGGCGGUGGGACAAUGCCAGACGGGGAGUUUGACUGGGGCGGUCGCCUCCGAAAGGGUAUCGGAGGCGCCCAAAGGUUCCCUCAGAAUGGACGGAAACCAUUCGAAGAGUGCAAAGGCAGAAGGGAGCUUGACUGCGACACCGACGGGUGGAGCAGGUACGAAAGUAGGGCUUAGUGAUCCGGUGGUAUUAAGUGGGAAUGCCAUCGCUCAACGGAUAAAAGCUACCCUGGGAUAACAGGCUUAUCACUCCCAAGAGUUCACAUCGACGGAGUGGUUUGGCACCUCGAUGUCGGCUCAUCGCAUCCUGGGGCUGUAGUAGGUCCCAAGGGUUGGGCUGUUCGCCCAUUAAAGCGGUACGCGAGCUGGGUUCAGAACGUCGUGAGACAGUUCGGUCCCUAUCCGGCGUGGGCGUAGGAUAUCUGAGAGGAGCUGUCCUUAGUACGAGAGGACCGGGAUGGACGGGCCGCUGGUGCAUCGGUUAGACUGCCAAGUCUACGGCCGAGUAGCCAAGCCCGGAAGGGAUAAACGCUGAAGGCAUCUAAGCGUGAAGCCCCCCUUAAGAUGAGAUAUCCCAUUCGAAAGAAGUAAACCCCCUUGAAGACGACGAGGUAGAUAGGGCAGAGGUGGAAGUGCAGCAAUGCAUGGAGCUGACUGUUACUAAUCGGGUGAGGGCUUGACCG